rnacentral:rRNA from 1 species
UACGUAGGGUGCGAGCGUUAAUCGGAAUUACUGGGCGUAAAGUGUGCGCAGGUGGCUUCGCAAGUCGAGUGUGAAAGCCCCGGGCUUAACCUGGGAAUUGCGCUCGAAACUACGGAGCUCGAGUGUGGCAGAGGAAGGUGGAAUUCCACGUGUAGCGGUGAAAUGCGUAGAGAUGUGGAGGAACACCAAUGGCGAAGGUAGCCUUCUGGGCCAACACUGACGCUCAUGCACGAAAGCGUGGGGAGCAAACAGG